rnacentral:rRNA from 1 species
UUCCCAGACUCCUACGGGAGGCAGCAGUGAGGAAUAUUGGUCAAUGGGCGCUCUUCUGAACCAGCCCCGUCGCGUGAAGGAUGACUGCCCUAUGGUUUUUAAACUUCUUUUCUCUGGGAAUACCCUGUUCCACGUUUUUUCUUUUGUAUUUCCCCUAUGAAUACUUCUCUGCUAACUCCUUUCCAGCAGCCUCUUUCCUACGGAGUCUCCUCGCGUUAUCCGGAUUUAUUGGGUUUAAAGGGAGCGUAGGGGGAUGGUUAAGUCAUGGGUGAAAGUUUUCGGCGCAACCGUAAAAUUGCAGUUGAAACUGGCAGUCUUGAGUACAGUAGAGGGGGGCGGAAUUCGGGGUGUAGCGGUGAAAUGCUUAGAGAGAACGAAGAACUCCGAUUGCGAAGGCAGCUCACUGGACUGCAACUGACACUGAGGCUCGAAAGUGUGGUUAGCACACAGGAUUAGAUACCCGAGUAA